ensembl:lncRNA
CAACCAAUAGCUCAAGUUAAUUGUAGCCUCAUCAUAUGUAUGCUAUUGCCAGGACUCAGAAUGAUUGGGAACAGACUCUUGCUUCUGAUUGAGGUAGAAGAGACAUGAUACAUAAAAUACCCACCGCGGGCUAGGCUAAUGAGCAGGAGCACUGCAGCACUGAAAGGACACCAUAUACGUACCAUCUGAGAUGGCUGACUCCUGGGAUAGAGCAUUUGUCUCUGAAGUGUACCCUCUGCAUGAGCCUUUUAUCUGACCGGUCACAAACCGUGGAAGGCAAAUUUGCAAACAUGCUCCAGUGACCUACUGUUAUUGCUGUAGCUGCUUACAGCAAAUCUCUUCACUGACUUCAG